rnacentral:rRNA from 1 species
UACGUAGGGGGCAAGCGUUGUCCGGAAUUAUUGGGCGUAAAGCGCGUGUAGGCGGCUCGGUAAGUCUGCUGUGAAAGUCCAGGGCUCAACCCUGGAACGCCGGUGGAUACUGUCGAGCUCGAGUCCGGAAGAGGCGAGUGGAAUUCCUGGUGUAGCGGUGAAAUGCGCAGAUAUCAGGAGGAACACCGGUGGCGAAGGCGGAUCUCUGGGCCAUUACUGACGCUGAGGAGCGAAAGCGUGGGGAGCGAACAGG